CUAUCUGGAUGGUUUGGAUUGACGAAAUUGCUUGCGACGUCGACAAUGUAGUAGUUUCCACAGUUUAUCAAGUCGUGACGUACGCACACGGCAGUUUUUCUUACAAAGGGCAAAAGGUCGUUUUUUUUCUUUGCGUUUUCUGUAACGAGAAACGGAAAUGGCGGGCUUUUGUUCGAUUUCAAUCCCUUUUAGCUUUUCGGGUCGAUCCCCAUCCAUCGGAUUCGCGCGGCAAUCCGAAUUCCUCGACGAAUUCUAAGAUGUUUCCAGCAAGGAGUUGGUUUCAUAAGUUUCAGCCUCGAGAUAAGAUGCGGUCAGCAUCGAGGAAGAAGGAGGGAACAAGUGAUGCAAACGAAGGCGGGAAGCCGCCCAUGAGCGAGGAUGCAACUUCGAAUGUCACGAAGCAGAGGGUUGCGGCGGCGAAGCAGUAUAUAGAGAACCACUACAAAGAGCAGAUGAAGAACUUGCAGGAGCGGAAGGAGCGACGGUGUACCCUAGAGAAGAAGCUGGCUGAUGCUGAUGUGUCUGAGGAAGACCAAAAUAAUCUUAUAAAAUUCUUGGAGAAAAAGGAAACUGAAUACAUGCGCCUUCAGAGGCAUAAAAUGGGCGCGGAUGAUUUUGAACUAUUGACAAUGAUAGGGAAGGGUGCUUUUGGUGAGGUUAGGAUCUGUAGGGAGAAGACAUCUGGUCAUGUGUAUGCAAUGAAAAAGCUGAAGAAGUCAGAGAUGCUUCGUAGAGGCCAGGUUGAACAUGUUAAAGCAGAGAGGAAUCUUCUUGCUGAGGUUGACAGCAAUUGCAUUGUCAAACUUUAUUGUUCUUUCCAAGAUGAAGGCUUCCUAUACCUAAUUAUGGAGUAUUUACCGGGUGGAGAUAUGAUGACUUUACUUAUGAGGAAGGAUACCUUGACAGAAGAUGAGGCCAGAUUCUAUAUUGGGGAAACAGUUCUGGCUGUCGAGUCUAUCCACAAGCACAAUUACAUUCAUAGAGAUAUCAAGCCUGACAAUUUGUUACUGGAUAGAGAUGGUCACUUGAAGCUGUCAGAUUUUGGGCUUUGUAAACCGUUGGAUUGCAGUAGCUUUCCUAAUUUAAAUGAGAAAGAUAUUGCGACUGGAAAUAACAAUAUUGAGGCUACACAAAAUGAUGGACGCCCAAAGCGAACACAACAGGAGCAACUACAACACUGGCAAAGGAACAGGCGAAUGCUGGCAUAUUCUACUGUUGGCACACCUGAUUAUAUUGCUCCAGAAGUUUUGCUGAAGAAAGGUUAUGGAAUGGAAUGUGAUUGGUGGUCGCUGGGAGCUAUCAUGUAUGAAAUGCUAGUAGGUUAUCCACCAUUUUAUUCAGAUGAGCCAAUGGCAACAUGUAGGAAGAUUGUAAAUUGGAGAACUCAUUUAAAAUUUCCUGAAGAAGCAAAUCUAUCUCCAGGAGCUAAAGAUCUCAUCAGCAAACUCCUAUGCAAUGUCGAAAAGAGACUUGGAGGAAAAGGCGCCAGUGAAAUAAAGGCACACCCAUGGUUUCAAGGUGUUGAAUGGGACAGACUAUAUCAUAUGGAGGCUGCAUUUAUUCCAGAGGUCAAUGAUGAGCUGGAUACUCAAAAUUUUGAGAAAUUUGAUGAGUCUGAGAACGAAACUCAAACUUCGUCGAAAACAGGCCCUUGGAGAAAGAUGCUUUCAUCAAAGGAUAUUAACUUUGUGGGUUACACUUAUAAGAACUUUGAAAUCGUCAAUGAUCAUCAAGUGCCUGGGAUGGCUGAACUGAAGAAGAAGGAUAACAAACCAAAAAGGCCAUCCGUCAUGUCUCUCUUUGAUGAUCCAGGGCCAGCUGAUGAACCACCAUCAGCUGAAGGGAGUUUUAUCUGCCUCUUACCUCCCCAUCUAGAAGUCUCCCAAAGCGAAAACCCAUAUUCUCCAUGAAAAACCCGUGAAUACUUGUAGUGAUCAGAUGGCUGAAGAGCUCCAUCCCACAUAUUCAACUCCUUGCAUAUUUCUGCAGCAAUGCGAUGGCACGUGUACGAUUUCCCAAGUGACUGCGCAUCAGGAGCCUCAUGCGGACAGAGUAUAAAUAACUUCCUAAAAUUCAUCCGCCUUCCUCUGCCGCUUCUCCAAAAUCCAGAGAGUGACAGAAAACCCUAAUAUCUCCAUUUUCAUCAUUUCCCAGGUCGAAUUGCUGCGAGUUUACAAGAUUCAAACCGUUAAAUAUGCAGGCAAGUGAUAGGUUUAAUAUCAAUUCCCAGCUUGAGCAUCUCCAAGCUAAAUAUGU